UCCUGCGGCUCAGUCAAUAGAGCAUUGCGCUACAACACAAAGGUCAUGGGUUCAAACCCCAGAGAAAGAA